rnacentral:lncRNA from 1 species
GCAGUGGCACGAUCUCAUGAAGUUUUAAGAAAAGCCUCAAGAAUGGCCUCAUGGCCUCAUGGAAGUUUUUGCUAUGCCUUCAGUUCUGUCACAGUCUUUAGAGGUGUUUUUGUCUAACUCUCCCUCAGGAUCACACCAAAAAGCCUUGGUCAUUCAGCAUGGUGCCUGACCUUCAGCAAAUAUUGGGAGCCUCCGAUUCCUGCUGCUUCUAGUCUGCCAUCUUUGCCACACCCCCAGAAAAUUCUGACUAUUCAAUUUCUACUAUACCAAAAUUAGACUCCUCCUCCCGCUAAGGAAAAGUGGUGACAACAUGGGCAUAUGGACAUUCAUUCCCACCUUCAGCAGAGGGAGGAUAUGUGUUUUGAGAAAUGGUACUAGAGCAAUUCAACAUAGAAGAAAAGAAGAGAAGAUGAAGGAGAAGAGGAGGAAGAGGAAGAGGAAGAAGGAGGAGGAGGAGGAAGAAGAAAAAGAAGAAGGAAGAAGAGGAAGAAGAAGAGGAAGAAGAGGAAGAAGGAGAAGAAGGAGAAGGAGAAGAAGCAGCAGCCAAGUGCAGUGACCCAGCCUGUAGUCCCAGCGCUUUGGGAGGUCAAGGCGGGCAUAGCAGGAGGUCAGGAGUUCGAGACCAGCCUGGCCAACAUGGUGAAACCCCAUCUCUACUAAAACUACAAAAAUAAGCUGGGUGUGGUGGUGUGCACCUGUAAUCUCAGCUUCUUGGGAGGCUAAGCAGGAUAAUCGUUUGAGUCCUGGAGACAGAGGUUGCAGUGAGCCGAGAUCAUGCCACUGCACUCCAACCUGGGUGGCAAAGCAAGACUCUGUCUCAAAAAAUAAAUAAAUAAAUAAAUAAGAAGGAAGAGGAGGAGGAGGAAAGAAUAAUAAUAAUAAUAAUAAUAAUAAUAAGGGGAGCACCUUGACCUAAGUCUCACUUUCGCACCUACAAAAUUUAACUCAAAAUGAAUCACAGACUUAAAUACCAUAGAAAAAAAAAACAGGGCACCUGUGUGUUCUAGCACCAGUUAGAGAGUUCUUUGACCGGAUUCUGAAAGCACUAUCCAUAAAAAGAAAUUUUGGUAAAUUGAAGUUCAUUAAAAUUGGAAACUUUUGUUCUGUGAAAGACCCUGCCAAAAAGAUGAGAAAAUAAGCUACAUGCUGAGAGAAAAUAUUUGCAAAGCACCUAUUUGACACAGGGUUAGUAUCUAGAGUAUAUAACAAACUCAAAAAGCUCAAAAAUAAAGGAAAAAAAA